rnacentral:rRNA from 1 species
ACUGGGGGAUAGCAGCUGGAAACGGCUGGUAAUACCGCAUAAGCGCACAAUGUUGCAUGACAUGGUGUGAAAAACUCCGGUGGUAUAAGAUGGACCCGCGUCUGAUUAGCUAGUUGGUGAGAUAACAGCCCACCAAGGCGACGAUCAGUAGCCGACCUGAGAGGGUGACCGGCCACAUUGGGACUGAGACACGGCCCAGACUCCUACGGGAGGCAGCAGUGGGGAAUAUUGCACAAUGGAGGAAACUCUGAUGCAGCGACGCCGCGUGAGUGAAGAAGUAAUUCGUUAUGUAAAGCUCUAUCAGCAGGGAAGAUAGUGACGGUACCUGACUAAGAAGCUCCGGCUAAAUACGUGCC